rnacentral:rRNA from 1 species
UACGAAGGGGGCUAGCGUUGUUCGGAAUCACUGGGCGUAAAGGGCGCGUAGGCGGCCGAUCAAGUCGGGGGUGAAAGCCUGUGGCUCAACCACAGAAUUGCCUUCGAUACUGUUUGGCUUGAGACCGGAAGAGGUAAGUGGAACUGCGGGUGUAGAGGUGAAAUUCGUAGAUAUUCGCAAGAACACCAGUGGCGAAGGCGGCUUACUGGUCUGGUUCUGACGCUGAGGCGCGAAAGCGUGGGGAGCAAACAGG